CGAAGGGUGGGGUGUGCUGACAUUGGAAAACCACAUCAGACUUUAGAAAGGAAGAACUAGGUCAUGAAAGAAUUCAGGGAAAAGCGCUAGCAAAUUGGCCCCAUGGCGUAAUGUGAAUGGCAAGAAAAUGCAGCAGAAAAAAUUAUCACCGACGGCCGGACGCGGUGGCUCACGCCUGUAAUCCCAGCACUUUAGGAGGCUAAGUGGGGGCGGAUCACGAGAUCAGGAGAUCGAGACCAUCCUGGCUAACACGGUGAAACCCCCGUCUCUACUAAAAAUACAAAAAAUUAGCCUGGCGUGGUGGCGGAAGCCUGUAGUCCCAGCUACUCCGGAGGCUAAGGCAGGAGAAUGGGGUGAACCCGGGAGGUGGAACUUGCAGUGAGCCGAGCUCGCGCCACUGCACCCCAGCCUGGGUGACAGAGCGAGACUCCGUCUCAAAAAAAAAAAAAAAAUUAUCACCGAGCUCAAUCAAAGUAACUUGGGACUGCUGUUUCAACAGGAUUAGUAAUUUGCUAAUCAGUUUUCUAGUUCCUAAAUUCCUUUUGCUUAUAAGCAUUCAAAUGAAAUUGACACCACCAUAACUGGUUUUCAAAACCAUUUAGGUCUUUUGAGGUUGCAUCAUGGUUU
rnacentral:lncRNA from 1 species